rnacentral:rRNA from 1 species
UACGUAGGGUGCGAGCGUUGUCCGGAAUUAUUGGGCGUAAAGGGCUCGUAGGCGGUUUGUUGCGUCGGGAGUGAAAACUCAGGGCUUAACCCUGAGCCUGCUUCCGAUACGGGCAGACUAGAGGUAUGCAGGGGAGAACGGAAUUCCUGGUGUAGCGGUGAAAUGCGCAGAUAUCAGGAGGAACACCGGUGGCGAAGGCGGUUCUCUGGGCCUGAUACUGACGCUGAGGAGCGAAAGUGCGGUGGGAGCGAACAGGAUUAGAAACCGUCGAGUCAG